UAAUAAGUGUUUUAUGGCACUUUUUAAAUCCAUAUCCACCUUGUGUGCAAUGUCAGGGCUGGUCUCUCUCUUUUGAUAGAUCAGCCCCAAACAUCAACCUAUAUUUCAACUCUUUGUCUGAAAAAUAUUAUGAAUAAAACAAUUCAAAAUA
rnacentral:misc_RNA from 1 species